AACUUGCCGGCCGGCCUACCAGAGCUUCCACUGCCUUUAGAGCUUGCCUGGGUCUCUCUCCAGAGUUGACCUCCCUUGGCCUUUUAUGAGCUCACUUUUGGAUCUGGAACUAGAGGUGAAGAACAGAAAAGGCAGGAAGCAGUGGGAUGGUGGAUGGUGGGAGGGGGAGCAGAGCAGAAGGGGAGGAAUAGGUCAUCUGAGUCCUGGCUGACCCCUUACUGGCUGGAGACCGGGUUUCUACAUUCAUAGAAUGGAGUGAUGAUUCUCGCCCUGUCCACUUCAUGCGGUUCUAGGGAGGAUCAUAUCAGAUAACGGGCCCGAGAGAAGAUGGUUGAUAGUAAAUCAUUCCGCAUGUUUGAGGAGAUUGUCAUUUCAUAUGGGCCGUGGCAGGGUCUGAAUUCACGGCUGAAGGAGCCUCAACUCCUGUUACUGCAAAGGGUUGUCCACGCUGGGUGGUCAUUGGAGAGUUUGCCGCUGCUGACCAGCUGGCCGUCAGUCCUGGAGCACCGAGAGGAGUGGAGGAUGCACAAGGACUGCAGUGGAGACGCUGCUGUCCCCCUCCCCUGAGCCCACUGGGACCUCUGGCUUUGCUGGCUGCGUGUGGUCCUGCCACACACUGACUGGCUCCCACUCCCAUGGGGCUAUGCCAAGGUGAGGCCUACCUUUGCCCCCCCGAAUUCAGAGGGAGGGGAAGGCCUGUGGUCCCCCACCUUUACAGGCAAGUUCAGAUGGCCUGAGCUAAUAGAUGUCGCUAACCAAUUAUGUGAUCUUGGCAGCUCACUUCACCUCAUUGUGACUCACGUGAAGGAUGCGGGUAUCACACAUAACCUUGUCGGGUGGUUGGGAACCUGCCCACUGGUCAGGUGCUUGGGUAGUAAGGGCUACUAUAAUAGGAUAAUGGAUGGCAGGUGUUUUGUAAACCUUAGGGUGAUAGGAGCAAGUCAGUUCCCAUGAUGAGGACUCCUACUCCGUUAUCGGGCUCACUUUCCAAGUUCUUUUAGAAGCUCUUUUAGAGUAGCCCCCUUCUCUGAGGAAGCUCCAGGGGCAAAUGCUCCUGACCCCUGCCUGGAAGGACCAGAUCCCCGGGUCAUAGGGUCAGGUGGGCCUCUUUUGUCCAAGGAUCAAGGGGGUGAAGAAGAGUCCCCUGCUUCGGUGUGGUCUGCCAAAAGCCACGCCACACUCCCCUCCACUUGAGGAGGUUGCUAGGUCCUUGCUCUGCGUGCAAGCUCUGUGCCUGGCCCAAGGGUCAGCCCCAUGUAGCAGGGCCACACAGAUGUCAAACCUGAAAUGCAGCUCUCUGGCUUUGCUGGUUCCAGUUCUGAUAGGCAUCUCCAGAGGCUGGUGAUAAGGAUGAUGGGCAGGUUGAGCGCUUUUCCUCCUUGUACUGGUAACUGCUGUGCGAUAGCAGCUCUGUAAUUGCUCAAUAAAACUCCCCCCACCGCCCAGGAUAGAUUUAUGGCCAAAAUGCAUUAUCUGAACUGAGCAUAUUUCAUCUGAGUGUACCUGGGUGUGUGUGGGAUGGGGAGGGAGAACAGACUGUCUGGAGACAGUUUCCGGGGGUGCUCAGGAAAUUCCUGCCCCCUCCUUUCCCCGAAGUGUUGUCUGGAAGCUCUUUCUAGAUCUGUCAGGACUUACAUGUCAUGGAUCUUCUCCUGAACCUAAAACUAUGUAGACACCCCAGGGAUGGGAGUGAUGAGGAAGACUGUGGCCUGGACAAGUUUAAUUUAGUUCAGUUCAGCAAAUUAAAUAGUGCCCAUUCUUGCCGAGGGCUAGGAAAGCUAUUAUUGUUAUUUAGCAGGGGGGGAAGGAGGGAAAGGCCUUGAGAAGGUGAAGAGAGAUGACAAGGAGCUUUUUUUCUUUUUUUUAAAGAUUUUAUUUAUUUAUUCAUGAGAGAUGAGAGAGAGUCAGAGACACAGGCAGAGGGAGAAGCAGAUUCCCUCUGGGGAGCCUGAUGUGGGACUCGAUCCCAGGACCCCGGGAUCAUGACCUGAGCCAAUGGCAGAUGCUCAACCACUGAGCCACCCAGGUGACAAGGAUCUUUUCUCUAGCUGCUUGAGGUGCCUGAUACACCAACAUUGGCUGGUGGGAGUGGGGUGGGGGCAGGAGGGGUGGGGACAGCCACG
rnacentral:lncRNA from 1 species